rnacentral:rRNA from 1 species
CGUGGUCGAUACCGGCUGCCGGGAAUGUGGUGUUAGGGAGGGUCCAUUAUCCCGAGAUCAUGCGGCGCGUCCAAGUCCUUCUUGAACGGGGCCACAGCCCAUAGAGGGUGCCAGGCCCGUAGUGACCGCUGCUGAUCGCGGGAGGAUCUCUCCUCAGAGUCGGGUUGCUUGAGAGUGCAGCCCUAAGUGGGUGGUAAACUCCAUCUAAGGCUAAAUAUGACCACGAGACCGAUAGCGAACAAGUACCGUGAGGGAAAGUUGAAAAGCACUUUGAAGAGAGAGUUCAAGAGUACGUGAAACCGUUUAGGGGUAAACCUGAGAAACCCGAAAGGUCGAAGGGAGAAAUUCAUUCGCGUUUCGAUGUUGGCGUGAAGGGGUCGUGUGACGGAGAAGGUUUACCCGAUCCGCGCCUUCCUUUUUUCGAUCCGACGUCGAACGCGUGCACUUUUCUCCUGGUAGGACGUCGCGAUCCGUUGGGUGUCGACCUACGGCCCGAGGUGGAGCCCGGACGGUUUUUGCCGUUCGGACCCUCGGUGUCCUGGCCGACUCGCUCGACGGUAUACGAACGGUCGAGGGCCGCUUUUAUAGCGUUCGACUCGUUGCAAGCGCGUCGGAAGCGUUGGAUACCGGACCUAGCGCCGAUACUGAUCUCCGAUGGCUGUUGGCGACGAAGUUCUCGGACAGACCCUCACGACCGAUCUGCGACGCUAUAGCUUUGGGUACUUUCAGGACCCGUCUUGAAACACGGACCAAGGAGUCUAGCAUGUGCGCGAGUCAUUGGGAAUCRUUAAACCUAAAGGCGUAAUGAAAGUAAAGGUUCGUCUUGCACGAACCGAGGGAGGAUGGGUGGAUCGCCCUUAAAAGCGACCGCUCCGCACUCCCGGGGCGUCUCGUUCUCAUUGCGAGAAGAGGCGCACCAAGAGCGUACACGCUGGGACCCGAAAGAUGGUGAACUAUGCCUGUC